rnacentral:rRNA from 1 species
UAAAGUUGCUGCAGUUAAAAAGCUCAUAGUUGAAUUUCGGGACCAUCAUGUCGGUCGUGCCUCGGUACGUACUGGUAUUGUUGGUUUCUCCCUUCUGACGAACCAUGAUGUCAUUUAUUUGGUGUUGUGGGGAAUCAGGACUGUUACUUUGAAAAAAUUAGAGUGUUUAAAGCAGGCUCACGCUUGAAUACAUUAGCAUGGAAUAAUGAAAUAGGACGUUUGAUUCUAUUUUGUUGGUUUCUAGGAUCGACGUAAUGAUUAAUAGGG